AAGAGAAGAGAAGAGAAGAGAAGAGAAGAGAAGAGAAGAGAAGAGAAGAGAAGAGAAGAGAAGAGAAGAGGGACUCAAGGAUAAGAGACUACCUGCAUUCUGAAGAAAAAAGAAAAAGACAUCAGAGCAGGAAUUAUGAAAGGAAACACCCUGGUCUAUUAAAAUGGGAGGACGAGGAGCAGCUUGCACAGUUUCGGCCGAAGGCCUGUAUAGGUCCGGUAAUACGAGGCUAGUGCACUACUCCUCUACUACGCUGACGGCUAGGCUAAC